rnacentral:rRNA from 1 species
GCGAACGGGUGAGUAAUACAUAGGUAACCUGCCCCUGUGCGGGGGAUAACAGGAGGAAACUCCUGCUAAUACCGCAUAGCCAUGAGCACCGCAUGGAGCUCAUGCCAAAUAUCCUUUAUGGGAUAGCGCAGGGAUGGACCUAUGGCGCAUUAGCUGGUUGGCGGGGCAACGGCCCACCAAGGCAACGAUGCGUAGCCGGCCUGAGAGGGCGGACGGCCACAUUGGGACUGAGACACGGCCCAGACUCCUACGGGAGGCAGCAGUAGGGAAUUUUCGGCAAUGGGGGAAACCCUGACCGAGCAACGCCGCGUGAGCGAAGAAGGCCUUCGGGUCGUAAAGCUCUGUUGUAAAGGAAGAACGGCGCAUACAGGAAAUGGUAUGCGAGUGACGGUACUUUACCAGAAAGCCACGGCUAACUACGUGCCAGCAGCCGCGGUAAUACGUAGGUGGCGAGCGUUAUCCGGAAUCAUUGGGCGUAAAGAGGGAGCAGGCGGCCGCAAGGGUCUGUGGUGAAAGACCGAAGCUAAACUUCGGUAAGCCAUGGAAACCGGGCGGCUAGAGUGCGGAAGAGGAUCGUGGAAUUCCAUGUGUAGCGGUGAAAUGCGUAGAUAUAUGGAGGAACACCAGUGGCGAAGGCGACGGUCUGGGCCGCAACUGACGCUCAUUCCCGAAAGCGUGGGGAGCAAAUAGGAUUAGAUACCCUAGUAGUCCACGCCGUAAACGAUGAAUACUAGGUGUCGGGGCCCAUAAGGGCUUCGGUGCCGCAGCAAACGCAAUAAGUAUUCCACCUGGGGAGUACGUUCGCAAGAAUGCAACUCAAAUGAAUUGACGGA